rnacentral:misc_RNA from 1 species
AAGUCGUAACAAGGUCUCCGUAGGUGAACCUGCGGAGGGAUCAUUAACAAAACUGGCAGCUUAUUGCUAAUUGUGUUGACAGUUCAUGGCGUGCAGCGAAUCUGGUGUGUGUGUGUCAAUGACGUCAUUUACGUGACGUGAUUCGCACCUGCGUCAUUUUGUGGCACGGAUGGCUGGUUUCAUGUUUCUACAUGUACAUUGCAACAACCACCAACAAAGAACAAAACAACAAGAAAAACAACUUUUAACAAUGGAUCUCUUGGCUCUU